UACGGAGGGGGCUAGCGUUGUUCGGAAUUACUGGGCGUAAAGCGCGCGUAGGCGGCUUAGUAAGUUAGAGGUGAAAGCCCGGGGCUCAACUCCGGAAUUGCCUUUAAGACUGCAUCGCUAGAAUUGUGGAGAGGUAAGUGGAAUUCCGAGUGUAGAGGUGAAAUUCGUAGAUAUUCGGAAGAACACCAGUGGCGAAGGCGACUUACUGGACACAUAUUGACGCUGAGGUGCGAAAGCGUGGGGAGCAAACAGG
rnacentral:rRNA from 1 species